CGUAGGUGGCAAGCGUUGUCCGGAUUUAUUGGGUUUAAAGGGUGCGUAGGCGGUCUAUUAAGUCAGUGGUGAAAUACUCUAGCUCAACUAGAGGGGUGCCAUUGAUACUGAUGGACUUGAGUACAGAUGAGGUAGGCGGAAUUGACGGUGUAGCGGUGAAAUGCUUAGAUAUCGUCAAGAACACCUAUAGCGAAGGCAGCUUACUAGGCUGUAACUGACGCUGAGGCACGAAAGUGUGGGGAUCAAACAGGAUUAGAUACCCUGGUAGUCCACACUGUAAACGUUGAUUACUCGCUGUGUGCGAUAUACAGUACGCGGCCAAGCGAAAGCGAUAAGUAAUCCACCUGGGGAGUACGCCGGCAACGGUG
rnacentral:rRNA from 1 species